GUGCAUCUAUGACAGACCUGCAGCGGUCACUACCUGCUGCUCAGGUUCCAGUGCAGAUGCAACAGGAAAGGGUCCUCGCGCUUUCUGACUGUCUGAUUGUGGCAGCCGAGAUUGAAUAGGGGAAUACAAAA